rnacentral:rRNA from 1 species
CAGCCGCCGCGGUAAUACGUAGGGUGCAAGCGUUAAUCGGAAUUACUGGGCGUAAAGCGUGCGCAGGCGGUUAUAUAAGACAGAUGUGAAAUCCCCGGGCUCAACCUGGGAACUGCAUUUGUGACUGUAUAGCUAGAGUACGGCAGAGGGGGAUGGAAUUCCGCGUGUAGCAGUGAAAUGUGUAGAUAUGCGGAGGAACACCGAUGGCGAAGGCAAUCCCCUGGGCCUGUACUGACGCUCAUGCACGAAAGCGUGGGGAGCAAACAGGAUUAGAUACCCGUGUAGUCCCUGUCUCUUAUAC